GACGAACGCUGGCGGCGUGCCUAAUACAUGCAAGUAGAACGCUGAAGGAGGAGCUUGCUUCUCUGGAUGAGUUGCGAACGGGUGAGUAACGUGUAGGUAACCUGCCUGGUAGCGGGGGAUAACUAUUGGAAACGAUAGCUAAUACCGCAUAAUAGUAGAUGUUGCAUGACAUUUGCUUAAAAGGUGCAAUUGCAUCACUACCAGAUGGACCUGCGUUGUAUUAGCUAGUUGGUGGGGUAACGGCUCACCAAGGCGACGAUACAUAGCCGACCUGAGAGGGUGAUCGGCCACACUGGGACUGAGACACGGCCCAGACUCCUACGGGAGGCAGCAGUAGGGAAUCUUCGGCAAUGGACGGAAGUCUGACCGAGCAACGCCGCGUGAGUGAAGAAGGGUUUCGGAUCGUAAAGCUCUGUUGUAAGAGAAGAACGAGUGUGAGAGUGGAAAGUUCACACUGUGACGGUAUCUUACCAGAAAGGGACGGCUAACUACGUG
rnacentral:rRNA from 1 species